rnacentral:rRNA from 1 species
UACGGAGGGGGCUAGCGUUGUUCGGAAUUACUGGGCGUAAAGGGCGCGUAGGCGGACCGUCUAGUCAGGGGUGAAAGGCCUGGGCUCAACCCGGGAACUGCCUUUGAUACUGGAAGUCUCGAGUCCGGGAGAGGUGAGUGGAACUGCGAGUGUAGAGGUGAAAUUCGUAGAUAUUCGCAAGAACACCAGUGGCGAAGGUGGCUCACUGGCCCGGAACUGACGCUGAGGUGCGAAAGCGUGGGGAGCAAACAGG